rnacentral:lncRNA from 1 species
GGGAAACAAUUAAAAAUAUGAACCCCUUCUGCCUGGAAACCAUCAGCCACAAAGGUUCCCACUGAAGAGAGCAGCCUAAGCAAAAUAGUGAGACCUUGUCUCUAUUAAAAAAAAAAAAAAUAUAUAUAUAUAUAUACACACACACACACACACAUAAAAUUUUAAAACUAUCAAAAGACUUGUUCUUAAAAGUUAAACGAAUAAAGUACUGAAUGUAGUGUUUCUUGAUCCUGCAAAAAAAAAAUCUGCUACAUUCAUAAAUAUUGUGUUCUGGUAAGAGUUUAGAUUACAUAAAGCAGUCGAAGUCAAUCAUUUUGCUAAAGUAGCUUGUAUCUGACCCUAUGGGUGUUUGCCUCUGUGCUUCUGUGAAGGUGAGGUCCAGCAGAAAAAGUCAUUGUAUGCAAAUAAAUGCCUAGUCCUUUAUCAGACGAUGACAAGGGUUGGGAAGGGAAACAAUUAAAAAUAUGAACCCCUUCUGCCUGGAAACCAUCAGUC